UACGUAGGUGGCAAGCGUUGUUCGGCAUUCUUGGGCGUAAAGGGCGCGUAGGCGGUUUGUUAAGUCGGUCGUGAAAGCCCGGGGCUCAACCCCGGAGGGUCGACCGAUACUGGCAGACUAGAGUACAGAAGAGGUAACUGGAAUUCCCGGUGUAGCGGUGAAAUGCGUAGAUAUUGGGAGGAACACCAGUGGCGAAGGCGGCUCACUGGACCGGAACUGACGCUGAUGCGCGAAAGCGUGGGGAGCAAACGGG
rnacentral:rRNA from 1 species